rnacentral:misc_RNA from 1 species
CUUACGUCACGCUACGUUACCGUAUAUUGUUUUAACAACGCUUUAUAUCGUACAAGUUAUGGAUUAAAUUCAUCAUGACACAUUUUUUAAAAGUUUGUUGGGAAAAGAAAAAGAAACGAAAUGGGAAAAACUACAGAUCUAUUCCAAACUUGCCAAACACAGACGAUGAUGAAGAGCCUGCACCAGCAGCGUGUGAAUGUCAAGGACACAUUUUCCACGAAACAGAUCGUUACCAGACCAUUGAUGGAGAUGUGUCAUCGUUCGAGAUAAAGCCUGACAUACACAGUUCAACUCUGUUGCCUCACAGACAGGAAACAACUAACUCAGAUGAUGAACUGCAUUCUACCCCAAAUGAAAACGUGGCACCAACUGAGCAGGUGAAGGUCACAGAGUCUGUGGAGGAAGUUAAGUCUUCAUUACCUGAACAACCUGAGGAAGUGAAAGCAAUACCCAAGAAUCCUUAUAAGAGAAUAUUCCUUUUACACAGCCCUAUCACAGCAGAGAAUGAACCAGUACAAGAGAGACCACCUCCAGAAUGUGAGCGAGGUUUCAUCAAACAGAUGGACAGCCUUCAAGAUCUCCAUGACGCUUACGAUGCAUUCUUGAGUGGCAAAGACGAGGUGAAGGUCACAGAGUCUGUGGAGGAAGUUAUGCCUCCAUUACCUGAACAACCUGAGGAAGUGAAAACAACACCCAAGAAUCCUUAUAAGAGAAUAUUUCUAUUACACAGCCCUAUCACAGCGGAGAAUAAACCAGUACAAGAGAGACCACCUCCAGAAAGCGAGCGAGGUUUCAUCAAACCGACGGACAGCCUUCAAGAUCUCCAUGACGUUUACAGUGGGUUUUUGAGUGGCAAAGAUGAGGUGAAGGUCACAGAGUCUGUGGAGGAAGUUAAGCCUCCAUUACCUGAACAACCUGAGGAAGUGAAAACAACACCCAAGAAUCCUUAUAAGAGAAUAUUUCUAUUACACAGCCCUAUCACAGUGAAGAAUGAACCAACACAAGAAAGACCACCUCCAGAAUGCGAGCGAGGUUUCAUCAAACAGAUGAAUGGCCUUCAAGAUCUCCAUAACACUUAUGAUGCAUUCUUGAGUGGCAAAGACGAGGUGAUCAACAAUGAGACAGAGCCAGAGAAGCCGCUGGAACAAGAAAGACCACCUGUAGAAUGUUUGAAGAGUUUGAUCAAGCAGGCGAACCAACUCAAUGAGGCAUUUAAUGCAUUUUUCAAAACCAUCUACAACAAGGAUCACAGAACAAUAUCAUUCAGAGAAAAUUACGACGAUUUGAAUGAUAAAAAAAAAAAGUGGCUUGAUAGCGUCAUUCAAGAACGCAUUGCUCUGGAGAAAUUCUGCCACACUCUAGUUCCUUCCGCCUCUCUGCUGUCAGAAAAGCUGACAUUUGAAACACAGAGAAGACUUGAGAUAGAAGACUGGCUGAACGAGAGACUUCUUCACAAAACACCGGCCACAAGGUGAACAGUGUGGUGUGAAGAUAAAUCCUAUAUUGUUUCCAGCAAGCUGUUCAAGGAACACUCAUUACCUAUGUAGUGUAUCAUUACCUGUGUAUAUUGUAUCAUUACCUAUGUUGUGUAUCAUUACCUGUGUAUAUUGUAUCAUUACCUAUGUUGUGUAUCAUUACCUGUGUAUAUUGUAUCAUUACCUAUGUUGUGUAUCAUUACCUGUGUAUAUUGUAUCAUUACCUAUGUUGUGUAUCAUUGUCAUAAUCUGUGUAGUGUAUCAUUACCUGUGUAUAUUGUAUCAUUACCUAUGUAGUGUAUCAUUACCUGUGUAUUGUUAUCAUAAUCUAUGUAGUAUAUCAUUACUUAUAUAUAGUGUAUCAUUACCUAUUUGGUGUAUCAUUUACCUAUUUAGUGUAUCAUUACCUAUUAUAUGUAUAGUGUAUCAUUUACCUAUGCAGUGUAUUUUUACAUAUACAGUGUAUCAUUACCUAUGCUGUGUAUCAUUACCUAUGUAGGGUACAAUUACCUAUGCAGUGUACAAUUACCUAUGUAGUGUAUCGUUAUCUAUGUAGUGUACAAUUACCUAUGUAGUGUAUCGUUAUCUAUUUGUGUAUCGUUACCUAUGUAGUGUAUUGUUACAUAUGUAGGGUAUCAUUACCUGUGUAUUGAACCAAUACCUAUGUAGUGUAUCGUUACCUAUGUAGUGUAUCGUUACCUAUGUAGGUAUCAUUACCUGUGUAUUGAACCAAUACCUAUGUAGUGUAUCGUUACUUGUGUAGUGUAUCAUUACCUAUGUUGUGUAUCAUUACCUAUGUUGUGUAUCAUUCCCUAUAUGAUGUAUCAUUACCUAUGUAGUGUAUCAUAACCUAUGCGGUGUAUCAUUACCUAUGUUGUGUAUCGUUACCUAUGUUGUGUAUCAUUACUUAUGUAGUGUAUCGUUAUCUAUGUAGUGUAUCAUUACCCAUGUAGUGUAUUGUUACCUAAGUUGUGUAUCAUUACUUAUGUAGUGUAUCGUUAUCUAUGUAGUGUAUCAUUACCUAUGUAGUGUAUUGUUACCUAAGUUGUGUAUCAUUACUUAUGUAGUGUAUCGUUAUCUAUUUAGUGUAUCAUUACCUAUGUAGUGUAUUGUUACCUAAAUUGUGUAUUGUUACUUGUGUGGUGUAUCAUUACCUAUGUAGUGUAUCAUUACCUAUGUAGUGUAUCAUUACUUAUAUGGUGCAUCAUUAUCUAUGUAGUGUAUCAUUACCUAUGUAGUGUAUCAUACCUAUGUAGUGUAUCAUUAUCUAUGUGGUUUAUCUUUACUCAGAGGUUCUAGAAUAUGGUGGACUGAUACCCGAGGUCAGUGGUUUUUGGAACUGGGCCAGUAAAAGUUACUCUGUGUGAUCCCAAUAGCAAGUGGUCAAAAUAUAUAUAUAUCUACGCCAGUACGAUCCUACGAAAACAAAAGAAACAUCUACAAGUCAUUUCUUUCGAUCUGCUGUCACAUGCAAUAUUUCACUAACAAAUAGUUUGCCACCAGUAAUCUUUGACAUACCGAUAUAACUUUAUUCAAGUUAUGAAGUGUAAUCGUUGAAAAUACAAAAGUUUAUUGUUUGCUGCCAUUAUCUUUUUUACACUGGAACCCAGUUUUGUUGCUCCAAUACUAAUAGUAAUACAGUGCAAACAUAAUAUGCAAAAUGGUAACCAGUCUUUUAUUAGUUUUAGUUUGCAUAACUUUAAAUGUGUAAAUUAUUAAUUUAAGUUAUAAAAUUGCAAAAAAUAAUUAAGUACACAAUAUCAUAAAAUAGAUAAUAAAUUUAACAAAGUACCUACCAUACAUUGAAAAAUUACUAAAUUGUGUGUGUGUGUGUGUAAGCCAUAAACUGUAAUGCAUAUACACUUUAUGCUAAUAAAAGGUUCUUGUUUC